rnacentral:tRNA from 1 species
UGCCGCCAUGGCGCAGUGGUAACGCGUCGCACUUGUACCACUUGGACAGAACAACUGUCUUUCAUGUCGUGAAAUGCGAAGAUCCCUAGUUCAAUUCUGGGUGGCGGCA